rnacentral:rRNA from 1 species
UACGGAGGGGGCAAGCGUUGUUCGGAUUUACUGGGCGUAAAGGGCGCGUAGGCGGCGUGACAAGUCACUUGUGAAAUCUCCGGGCUUAACUCGGAACUGCCAAGUGAUACUGUCGUGCUAGAGUGCAGAAGGGGCAAUCGGAAUUCUUGGUGUGAGCGGUGAAAUGCGUAGAUAUCAAGAGGAACACCAGAGGCGAAAGCGGCGCGCUGGACCACUACUGACGCUGAGGAACGAAAGCUAGGGGAGCAAACAGG